rfam:Gossypium hirsutum cultivar TM-1 chromosome 17, whole genome shotgun sequence
GGGCCUGUAGCUCAGAGGAUUAGAGCACGUCGCUAUGAACCACGAUGUCGGGGGUUCGAAUCCCUCCUCGCCCA